CUUGAAAAAUUGAUAAUGACAAAGCAAUGUAGAAGUGAAUAAAAGGGAAGAGCAAAUUUCUGCUGCAGUUCAGUCGCCCAAAACUGCCAGCUUACACCCAAAUUCUUUUGUCGCCCAAAACGGGUUUUAUGCGAGCGGAAAACGAGGAGAGGCAAAACUUUUGAAAUUCUUCUCAUGGUUGCAAUAGCAUUCGGUUUCAAAUUAAUAUUUACGUUAUUUAAAAACAUAUUUAUUUCCUUCACAGCCAAAAAAUUAAUUCGAAUAUCAUUUUAUUUUAAACAAGGAACGUAAUUAAUUCAUGAAUAUUUUAUAAUAAAUAGAAAUAUAUUGAGUAACAACAUUACUGGGUUUUAAUAACUACUAAAAGAGAAGGAAACGCCUUUCUUAAAUUUGUGCUUAGAAAUAUUAAUAGUAGGUAUUAUACAUAAUCUUCUACCACAUUAAUGGUAAUUCCUUGUAAGCAAUAUGUCAGACCAACAUAAAAAGGAACUAUGCAACACGCUCUCAUGGAUUAUUCAAAUAGAAUUUUGGCUACGCUUUACGUUAAACAUUUGUAUUGAUAAAAAGUUCGAAGCUAUUGUAUAAAGAUUUUGUUGGGUAACCCUUAUCUUUUUACACUUUGCCAAGCAACAGCCUCUGUUUUUAUUAAAGAGAAAAAAUGAACCCAAGCAUUCAUUGUGACAUACCCUUUGUUUUCUGUGCCUCGUUGUUUUUGUAUAAACUAUUGCACAAAGCGAUAAAAGUUGCAUAUGAAUUGGUCUUAAAAUCUCAUUUUCAGCCAUAGUUAUCAAACAAAUUGUUCAGACAAAACUAUUGACAAACAUAAGCACUGUGCAACAUCCAUUCGCAAUUUAAAAAGCAAUAAAAUUAUCUAGACUAUUCCACAUUAUUGUGAUUUUACCAUAGAUGUCUCCGUCAACAACUACUAAGUUGGUAAUACUGUGAGCUUAGACGUCCAUCUUUGAAAAAUUCACUGCGGAAGCGUUCAUUUCAUUUCGGAUUGUCUUCUAGUAAAGAUGUACAACUUAUUUGCGCUUUAUAAAUUAUAUAAAUUUGAAGAUAGUAAAAGUGGGUAUGGUUGACUUACAAUGUAUUUUUUGACUAGGUCAUUGUUCCGAACAUGAAUUAUAUGAGGAGCUGAAAUUUGUGAACUAUCCAUAUUUUCCUAUCCACAAAGAUCUUGUUAACCACGUGUAAUUCAGUGUCUGAUAUAAGCAGUGCAUUAAAUGCCAAGGAAUUUACGAAUGGCUAUUUUGGUGUUGUACGCUGAGGGCAGUAAGGAAUACAAUUUAAGAGAUUAGGUACCCGUUACAACAACAAUUUAAGAGAAUAACGCACUAGAUACGGCAUUCCACGAGGUAAGUUUCUUUUAUUUUUGUGGUUAUGCACGCUCCAAUGAUGAUUU